UGUCUUGUCUUUGUUAAAGCUUACCUGGGUUUUGGCUUCCUCCUAACUGUGGUUGCCGCAUUAUCUGAUAGAAAUCUGCAAUUUAUCAUCCUUGCCUGCCGUCUUAAUUAUUUCAGCAUGGUU